CGUUGCCGGGGAGGUAAGUAAUUUUAAUUCAUAGAAUUAAUUUUUGUGAAUAAUUUCUUUUAUUUGUUUUCUUGUAUUUUUUAUAAUAAAAAAAAAAGUGAAUCCGCAUUUAGAGGUUAGUAUUUCUUUUCUUUUUCUCUUCUUUAAAAUUCUGUAAUUUAAUUUUUAAUUUAUUUUUCUUUGUAAUUUUUGUUUAUCU
rnacentral:lncRNA from 1 species